rnacentral:rRNA from 1 species
GAUGAACGCUGGCGGCGUGCCUAAUACAUGCAAGUCGAGCGAACAGACGAGGAGCUUGCUCCUCUGACGUUAGCGGCGGACGGGUGAGUAACACGUGGAUAACCUACCUAUAAGACUGGGAUAACUUCGGGAAACCGGAGCUAAUACCGGAUAAUAUAUUGAACCGCAUGGUUCAAUAGUGAAAGACGGUUUUGCUGUACCUAAUGGAGGGAUCCCGGCCGCAUUAGCUGGUUGGUAAGUUAACGGCUUACCAAGGCAACGAUGCGUAGCCGACCUGAGAGGGUGAUCGGCCACACUGGAACGGAGACACGGUCCAGACUCCUACGGGAGGCAGCAGUAGGGAAUCUUCCGCAAUGGGCGAAAGCCUGACGGAGCAACGCCGCGUGAGUGAUGAAGGUCUUCGGAUCGUAAAACUCUGUUAUUAGGGAAGAACAAAUGUGUAAGUAACUAUGCACGUCUUGACGGUACCUAAUCAGAAAGCCACGGCUAACUACGUG